AUGGAAGCUCUUGGGAAGGCGGAAGUUGCACGUGCUCUCACAGUCAACUGUGCUGGAAUAGGAGGCCAGGAACCACCUCUGUUGGAGGAGGAGGACCCAUCGGGCAUCCCUUCAAGAAUGCCAAGGUCCACAGCAAACGCUUCCCUUCUAUGGGCACAGGAGGGCUGUGGGAGCCCAGAAAAUGUGCUUCUGGCCAGAGACAUGAAACAACCAUUUCAACCAGCUUGGACAAAAAAGAGAAGCCAAGAUGGGGCUGAGAAACCAAUGCAGCCGGGCCCAGGGAUCCAGGACUCAGGGACCAGGUGCUGCCGGAUGUUUGCUCUGACUCGUGUUGCUGCUGUCUUCUCUGUGCCUCAACUCUGUCCUCUGUCACUGCAGGCAGCUUCCUCCCAAGGUGAUCUUGAUGGGAUAACCACAUUGGUUUGUUUAGUAAACACUGAGACCAACUCCACCAUCCAGAGGCCUGACAGACAAAUGGCCUGAGACAGGGCUGGGAAAGCUUUGUGUCUGGUUGGGAUUUCAGGAAGAGGUUUUUUUUGUUUUGUUUUUUUUCCCCAAGGGAACAAGCCCUUGAAUCCGGGAGGCAGAGGUUGAGGUGAACCGAGAUGGCGCCAUUGAUCUCCAGCCUGGGCAACAAGAGCGAAACUCUGUCUCAAUAAAUAAAUAAAUAAAUAAAUAAAUAAAUAAAUAAAUAAACAAGAAAGAAAUGUAUGUCGAUGUCAGACUUUCUGAGCUGGGUGGAAGGACUCUGAGCUUACCAAAGGAAGUGUAUUUAUAAACCUCUAGGUACUGACUUGUUGCUGAAGGUGUGAUACCAGAAAUUUGCAAUGAUAUUU
rnacentral:lncRNA from 10 species